rnacentral:rRNA from 1 species
AUUGAACGCUGGCGGCAGGCCUAACACAUGCAAGUCGAGCGGAUGAAGGGAGCUUGCUCCUGGAUUCAGCGGCGGACGGGUGAGUAAUGCCUAGGAAUCUGCCUGGUAGUGGGGGAUAACGUCCGGAAACGGGCGCUAAUACCGCAUACGUCCUGAGGGAGAAAGUGGGGGAUCUUCGGACCUCACGCUAUCAGAUGAGCCUAGGUGGGAUUAGCUAGUUGGUGGGGUAAAGGGCUACCAAGGCGUCGAUCCGGAACUGGUCUGAGAGGAUGAUCAGUCACACUGGAACGGAGACACGGUCCAGACUCCUACGGGAGGCAGCAGUGGGGAAUAUUGGACAAUGGGCGAAAGCCUGAUCCAGCCAUGCCGCGUGUGUGAAGAAGGUCUUCGGAUUGUAAAGCACUUUAAGUUGGGAGGAAGGGCAGUAAGUUAAUACCUUGCUGUUUUGACGUUACCAACAGAAUAAGCACCGGCUAACUUCGUG